CGUAGUGGGGAACAGGAAGUUCCGGGUCGAAACGACAGAACUGUGUUGUUUUGUCGAUAGUGGUUGUGUCCAUUUCAAAUGUAUCAUUGUAGACCGACUCAGAUUAAGUCUGAGGCCGGUAACAUCAACAGUGAGGACAAUCCCAGCCUGCCACUCUCCUUCCACACUGUGUCCAAACCUACAGUCACUGGGUCCUGAUUGUGACAGUGGAGCCCAGUUUGCACUGCAGGAUCCAGAGAUGGCAUCAGUGAAGCUGGAAGACUGCAGUCAAACACUGGAGCUGAAUGUCAACAUUAAAGAUGAAGAAGAGGAAGAGAAGAUUAGGACAACUGUUAGUCAUGGAGACCAUGUUGAGACAUUCUCUACAUCCAGAGAGCAUCAGCAGGAAGAUCAGAGAGCUAAGAGGUCUCAUCACUGCCCACAUUGUGAAGACAUUUUCCCAUUUCAAUCAAAGCUAAAAAUGCACCUAAAAAUACACACAGGAGAGAAGCCUUAUUCCUGCUCUGACUGUGGAAAAUGUUUAAAACAUCAA